rnacentral:rRNA from 1 species
GACAGAGGUGGCAAGCGUUGUUCGGAUUUACUGGGCUUAAAGGGCGUGUAGGCGUCCUGAUAAGUCAGAUGUGGAAGCCUUGGGCUUAACCCGAGAAUUGCAUUUGAAACUGUCAGGAUUGAGUCGUGCACGGGAGGGCGGAAUUCCUGGUGUAGCGGUGAAAUGCGUAGAUAUCAGGAGGAAGGCCGGUGGUGAAGAUGGCCCUCUGGGCAAUGACUGACGCUGAGGCGCGAAAGCGUGGGUAGCAAACAGGAUUAGAUACCCUGGUAGUCCACGCCCUAAACGGUGGGUACUAGGUGUGGGUGGCGAUAGUCAUCUGUGCCGAAGGGAAACCAUUAAGUACCCCGCCUGGGGAGUACGGCCGCAAGGUUGAAACUCAAAGGAAUUGACGG